AUGCUUGCCGACCGCCGUCGAGCUGAAGCCAUGGACCGGAUCUCGUCAGAGACUAAGGCAAUCUACGAUCUUCCUCGGGCCGAUCUCGACGCCGCCCUGUCGAAGACCACGUCCGAGAAGAGCGAGGAGAUGGUCGCCGCCCUCGCCAAGCUGGACUCCAAGCUGGAUCAACUUUCAAGAUGCAUCGACGCGGUCAAACUCGGCAUUGUUCUCGACCUCGACGAACUCCACGAAGAACUCAUGACUGACUGCAGUGCCGCAUCGUCACGAACCACGCCGCCAUCACCACGACCUCCGCCUGCGACUACCAAGCAAGCCCUGCCAGGUAGCGGAUCCGCUGGCCAAGAAGAAUUCCACAACGAUUCUGAUCAGCAAAGCACAAGACCAAGACGACAACACCGCCCCUUCCGAUGGGUUCUAUGUAGAACUCGACGACGACGAGUGACUUGCCACCCAGGUGGUGAUCUACGCUUGUGA
rnacentral:rRNA from 1 species